AAAUUUAGGUUAACCACAAACCAAGAGCCUUCAAAGCCCUAAACAGGACACAUCCUAAUUUCUG
rnacentral:tRNA from 1 species